rnacentral:lncRNA from 1 species
GCCAAGUGAAAAUGUAUUUCAUAAAAAUGUUACAUAUACAUAUGAUCACCAACAUACAUUGGUUAUAAAAAUUUAUAUGACAUGAAAUCAAAAAUAAAAAUAAAAAUGUGCCUCCAUAUAAUCGCGAUCAAAAUAUAACCUCUUUUUAACUCCUCAAAAAUAGCUCGAAUAACAUUUGAUUGAGCGAGCGUAGCUUAGGUUAUUCUCGAUACGUUGAAAUUGAAAUUAAACUUAUAGUUGAGGAGGAGGAGGACUAAAAGUUGGGAAUGCAAAUUUACCAUGGUUAUGGCACAUAUCAUAGCAUUCUUGUUCAGCAUAUAAUGGACUUCCUUCACCACCAAAUAUACCUUUAUAACAAUUUUCAUAACAUUGUUCAUGUCCUUGUUCCAUUUUAAAUUUUCUUCCUGAAAAUUCAAAUACUGGCCCCUCAGGACCUUGGGGGUGGGGGUGGGGGUGGGGGUCGGGGUGAGGCGAGCAAGGUUGGGGGUGGGGGGGGGUGGGGUAUUUCCUCAUGUGCAUAUGCAAGUUUGCUUGAAAUAAAGAUAGUAACAAUGGCAAUUAAAAAGAUACUAGUAAUAUUUUUGUUAAUAGCCAUUAUUUCUUUUAAUUCCCUCUAUACUUUCCUAUUUUUUUCUAUGAGAAAAGUUAAAAAGAGGGAAUAAAAAAGAUAAUAUGAGAGUGAUAGAGGGAAAAGGUGUUUUUUAUAGGUGAAAAAAUGAUAAUAUUUUUGCUAAAAAUUAGGUUUUGGUAUAGAGUAUUUAGUGGAUUGUCCAUUAAAAAUUCUAAAUGUAAGAGAAGGGAUGUCCACCCAAAAGUCUAUUGUGGUAAAGAGAGAAAUAAGGAAGGAAAAAGAAAAAGGGAAAUUAUGAAUUUUUUUACGAGUUUAAGUUACAAGUUCACAUGGUACUUGCGCUUUUGCACUCAAUGAUGAAGUAGCCCAAGAGACAAAUUGUGUGAAGUCUGUUGAGCAAUGUUAUUGGCUUGGACCAUGUCAAAGGUUGCGACAUGCGGAAUACAAACCUAAUGUGCUUCAACUUUUUUCUGACUAUAGCAGAAACUUAGUACAUCGAACUAUCCCGUAUAUCUUGGCCCCCUUUUUUGUUUUUUGACAUAAAAUGAAAUGAUAUGUGGAUGCAAUUGAAGUUUGAAACUGCAUUUUCUUCAGUAACAACUUAUAUUCGUAACACAUUUUCCUUUACUAUCUUAAUUGAUAAUUAAGUCUAUUAUUGUGCACAUUUGAUGUCACUUAAAAUAUCAAAAACAACAACUAUUUAGCUGAAAUUUCAUAACAAAGUGAGGCUAUACAAUAAUACAAAUGAUAGCUUACAUAUCAGCAAAUAAAGGCUAGGCCAGUUCUACUACUAAUGAAUUUACCUCUGAUCUUGAGGGAGAAAAUAGAUAAGGCUUGGGAGGCAUUUGCAAAGAGUCUAGUUUCCCUUCUAACAUUUCAACAACCUUGCUCAUCGAUGGCCGAUUUGAGGGAUCAGUCUGUAUGCACCAUAAACUCGCUAUCACCAUCUUUCUUGCACAUUCGUUCUCCUCUUCAUUCAUUAUCCCGAUUAGUUGAAGCUCUUCUUCUAGUUCAAGUCGUUGAUAAAGCCAAUGUGGAAAGUAGAUUUCACUAGUGCGAUCAACUCCUACAUCAACAUUUUUUCUUCCUCCAACCAUCUCUAGGACCAUCAUUCCAUAGCUAUAGACGUCAGACUUGUGAGAGACACCUCCCAAGUUUCUGCAAACAAUUUCCGGAGCAAUAUAGCCUAUAGUACCUCGUGGACCUAACAUUGACACGACACUCUCCUUUUUUAUGCAUAGUUUGGCAAGGCCAAAGUCAGAGAUCUUUGGACAAAAAUCCUCAUCAAGUAAGAUAUUAUGAGGCUUUAUAUCAAAAUGCAAAAUCCGAGUGUUACAACCACGGUGCAAGUACUCCAAUCCUCGAGCAAUGCCUAGUGCGAUUUUGUAUAAUAUUGGCCAACUUAAUUGGCGAACAUUGUCGGAUCUUUUUUCAUAGAUAAACUUUUCAAGAGAUCCAUUAGGCAUGAACUCAUAUACAAGAGCUCUUUUCUGUCCCUCAAAACAGAAUCCCACAAGGCUCACAAUGUUAACAUGUGAUGUUCUGCUAAUACUUGCCACUUCGUUAACGAAAUCUUCACCACUGCCUUUUAGUUCAUUCAGGACCUUCACUGCCACUUCACUCCCAUCACGCAAACUUCCUCUGUAUACAUUACCAAAUCCUCCAUGGCCUAGUUUGUUUCUGAAGCGACCGGUGAUUCUUUUGAUGUCUGUAUAAUUGUAUCUGUUUGGAGCAUAUGAUCCAUAGUUCUUUAAGAAUUCUUCAACUUUUUGAUGAUCCUCAGCAUUAGAUUCCCAACACCUGAGGUAUUUGUACCACAAAAUCUUUUUUCUGAAGCAGAAGAGUAAAAUCAACAGUCCAACAGUAAACAAACUUGCACCUGUGUGAAAAAGAUGAAGUCAUGCCCCAUCAGAGACUACAACAACAACAACAUAAUAGCCAAUGUAAUCCCACAAAGUAGGGUCUGGGUAGGGUAGGUGUAAGUAGACCUUACUCUACACCAUGGACCUUCGGCACGAGAAAAAAAAAACAGUUGGGAAAAGGAAAUAACAGAAAAUGAAGAGACCAUGGCAAAACACUACAGAAAGCAUGAUCAAACAUUCUAAACAAUAGCUACAACAUAAAAUAUGACAAUCGAAGCACAACAGUAACAGAAAUCUAGCAACUAGAUACAGGAUUAUUGCUAUGCUACUAAUAGGAAAGGAUAAUCGAGAACAUCUGCAAACCAAUACCUGUGGCCACCAUGAACCAGAUUAUCCGAAGGUAACCCCUUUUUGAUGUUCCAGCUGUUACAGUGCUAACAUUUGCAAUACCAAUACUUUUAAUAACAUCUGCAACACCAAAGCUUGUGUGAGUUUCAGAUUAUAAAACUUUUCUCCGAUUAAGCGAAAAAGUCUGAUAAUGAUAGAAGGAGAAAAAGAUUUUAAUUUGGAACGGAGGCAAGUUUUCCCCCACAUGGCUCCGCCCCUGGCCCUAACCCCAGUUUUGCUCCCACAUGGCUCUUCCCCUGCCUUACCCCAAGUUCUAAAACAGUGGAUAAGUACAUAUAUGGAGAUGUCUACCUUUGUGACAAGAAAAUUUGUUGGUUUUAUUAGUCUGGCAUUGACCUCCACCAUAAUGACAUUUGUUACAUUCCUCAGAUAAUUUCCAUUCUACUAGAAUUGCAGGACCUAACAUGUCGAACAAAUCACCAUGAGUUGCCUGAAUUGGCAAUCUGAUAAGUGAACAGUUGGUAGGAAGAUUGUCUGCUGCUAUGUAUUCAUCAUCAUGUCGGGAAAGGUUGUAGUAUAUGCUAAAGCCUUCACAGCCGGUGUACAUAUUAUAACCAGCAAAAUGAUCGUUCUUCUUCUGCGUAAUGUUACGGGUAUUAUUACUGGUACUGAUGCAUUUGUAGAAGCUUAUUAUAUUAAUCAUAUGGAAAGACAUAAAAGAAGAGUAUGGAAGGGAGAAAUUUUUGUUAAAAGCCUGGCACUUGUGUUGCGUCAACGUUGUUUGAAGCUUCGUGUCCCCAAGCCAAACUGAUAAAUUAUGCAUCUCUAAAGCAUAGUACUAAUAUCCCUCAGGAAGCAGUCGGAUUCUCGGAUAUGGUUUAGCAUCACAACCAGAUAAGAACAUUAUUCCACAUUCAGGUUGUGUAGAAAGAGAGAAAGGAAAGCUUAGGUCAGUAAAAUUUCCACAUGAAAAUGACUUUGGACAAGUUGAAUCAUUUCUGCCCUUUGCCUGAACUAAGAUCAGGAGAAGUGAUAGGAGAUAGCUUACAUAUGAAGUGAUAGCCAUAUUAAAUAUCUCGAGAAGAGGAAGACUAGAUUAUGAACUCAUUUGUUCACUACAACUUAACAUUUAAAAGCAUAGUUGAUUUGGAAAAUUUGUGAGAAACGUGUAUCAUGGUGUAAAGACUUGAAGUCUUGCAUCAUUAUUUAGACUUAGUCGUCAAGCCUAGUGAAGAGACAACUAUCACUUUUUUUUACUGAGUUUUAUAGCCAUUGUUCCUUUUACCUACCUAAACUAUAUAUAUCACUCUCUUUGUAUUAAAACACACCAUGAUGCAGAGUUCGCAAAACAGGCCAAUUCAACAUCGAAGGUAUGUUUUAGUACAGAUGGAGUGAUAGUUUAGAUAGGUAAAAGUGAACAAUGGAUAGUUGAGAUAUGAAACUCGCGAAAAGGUGAUAAGAGUUAAUGGGAAAAAACACACCUAUAUCAAAGUCUAUUCUAACAUUACUGGGAGUGGAAAAGUCUCAGAAUUAUCAAUAGAUACUUCCAACAUCUAAAGGACUUUUCUCCUCUACUUAUGCAUCCUAUCCUUUUCUCUUUUUUCUUCGUUUAGUCACAAUCAUUUUCCAAGUAGGACAGUACAUACAAUUCUAUUCUAACAUUUUUAGACAUAAAAUGCUAGAGAGACAAGAAUUGAACUUAGAGACUUAAUUUUCUUCACUAUACACUGAAAUUCCAAGAACAUUUUGCUUCAUAGUCUUUAUAUACAAAAUAAGUUAUCUGAGGAACAAAUUUUAUUUGACAGAACCUACAUAGUGUGCUUCUGAUGCCAAUGUUCAAUAGAACAUUUAACUAAGAAAUGAACCUACAUAAGUGUUGACAUUCUUGGGAAUGAUGUACUAGUUAAUCGUUUUCGUUCCAUCGCAUACUCGAUUAAAGGAGUUUUUUUUUCAAGAAGAGAGAUCUCAAACUUAAAGGACUGAGAACUCUUCUUCCUCAAGAAAUUUUGAAGAAUAGGGAAUUCAAGUCUUUUUAAUAUUUAACUUCCAUGUAGUAAUAUACAUCCUUGACAACUAAUGAAAAUCACAAAAUGAAAUUGAAAGCUAUGGUUGAACACUUGAACUAAACCUUUCUUCUCUUUGCUAGUUAAGUACCAACAAGUACUUAGUUAACUAAACUGUCUUGCAUUUCUUUCAAACCAUUUUCUGCAAAACGAUUUUCUUGAGCUUAGGGUCUAUCAGGAACAACCUCUCUACUCCACAAAGGUGAUGCAAGUUUUGCAUACACCCUACUCUUCUCACACCCCACUUGCGGGACUAUACUGGAUAUGUUGUUGUUGUUGUUGUUGUUGCCAGUUCUAUUGUUGAUGAAUCUACCUCUGAUCUUGAGGGAGAAUAUAGGUAAGGCUUGGGAGGCAUUUGCAAAGAGUCUAGUUUCCCUUCUAACAUUUCCACAACCUUGCUCAUCGAUGGUCGAUUUGCCGGAUCAGUCUGUAUACACCAUAAACUUGCUAUCACCAUCUUUCUUGCACAUUCGUUCUCCUCUUCAUUCAUUAUCCCCAUUAGUUGAAACUCUUCGUCUAGUUCAAUUCGUCGAUAGAUCCAAUGUGGAAAGUAGACUUCACUCGUGCGAUCAACUCCAACAUCAACAUUUUUUCUUCCUCCAACCAUCUCUAGGACCAUCAUUCCAUAGCUAUAGACAUCAGACUUGUGAGAGACACCUCCCAAGUUUCUGCAAACAAUUUCUGGAGCAAUAUAACCUAUAGUACCUCGUGGACCUAACAUUGACACAAUACUCUCCUUUUUUAUGCAUAGUUUGGCAAGACCAAAGUCGGAGAUCUUUGGACAAAAGUCCAGGAUAUUGUGAGGCUUUAUAUCAAAAUGCAGAAUCCGAGUAUUACAGCCACGGUGCAAGUAUUCCAAUCCUCGAGCAAUGCCUAGUGAGAUUUCAUAUAAUAAUGGCCAGCCUAAUUGGCGAACUCCGUCAGAUCUUUCCUCAUAGAUAAACUUUUCAAGAGAUCCAUUUGGCAUGAAUUCAUAAAUAAGAGCUCUUUUGUGACACUCAAAACAAAAUCCCACAAGGCUCACAAUGUUAACAUGUGAUGUCCUGCUAAUACUUGCUACCUCAUUAAUGAAAUCUUCACUAUUACCUUUUAGUUCAUUCAGGACCUUCACUGCCACUUGACUCCCGUUAGGCAAACUUCCUCUGUAUACAUUACCAAAUCCUCCUUGGCCUAGUUUGUUUUUGAAGUAACUGGUGAUUCCUUUGAUGUCUGUAUAGCUGUAUCUUUUUGGAGCAUAUGACCCAGAGUUCUUCAGAAAUGCUUCAAUAUUUCUGUGAUCCUCAGCUAUAGAUUCCCAAAACCUGAGAUUUCUGUGCCAGAAAAUCUUUUUUCUCAAGCAGAAGAGCAAAAUCACAACUCCGAUGCAAGAGAAAACUGCAAAUGUGGGGGGAAAAUGGAAAGUCAUGCACCGGAAAGAGCCUGGUUUUGAGGCAGCACAGCGAUUACAACAUUUGCAAAACAUAUAUUAAAAUAAUUCUAAGUUAGAUCAAGGCAUUACGAGAUUUUUGUGCAAGUCUAAUUACAGAUAUUAGACAUGUACCUGUGCCUAGAAUCAGUCCCAAGUUUCUUUUUGCUUCUGCAAAUACACAGAAAUGAAAGAGUAAUAAGUCACAAUAAGAGUGAAAGCAAUUCACUUCCGUUCACGUUGAAUUAUUAAACAUCUUGGAAUGAACCAACCAACACACAUCUAAAUCCAUACCAAAAAUGAAACCAGACAUACACAAGCAACUGACAAACUUCUUAUAUCCAAUACCUUUGCAGCAAAAAAAGUUGUUUUCGAUGUCACUCUGGUAUCGCCUUCUUUAUGAGAUAGUUAGAAUAGUUUAAAGACAAUUCCCAAUCUAAUGUGAAACUAGGAGUCAAUAGAUCAAACAAAUCAGAAGAAUUUUGUUCUGAAGGUGAAUGAUGAAUUUGCAGGAAGAUUGCUAGCUAGAAUACUACGUCUUUGAUCAGUUCGUGGUUUAUGACACUAUAUGCUAAAGGCAUCACGACUCAAGUAGUUCUUAUAACUUUGAAAUAACUAUCAAUCCGCUUACUGUUAUUUGAAUGUACAAAGUAAUAUGUUGUUGACUUAAAAUAGAACACGAGGUGGGAAAAGAUAACUUAUGGUUCCAAUUCUUCGACAACGAACUCUGAAGUUUCACCUUGUUGGUGUUCGAUUCCUCAUCUUUUAAUACCCUCUCCCAUUUCCCCUUCGCCUACCACCAAUUUUUUUAUUUAUCUUUUCUUUUAAAAAAAAAAAGUUGGCUGCUCAAAAUUUUGCGGUUAACACAUAAUCCAAAUCCUUAAUGCAGCUAUAUCUUGAUGCCUAGAUCAUCAAACGAUACUUUUUUGUGCACUUGGUAAUCACAAGAAAAGAACCUGAAGCACGGCACCUAAUCAUAAGAUAAGGUUCUUCAUAAUUAUACUCGAAAAUUAACUGCUAGAUAGGGGCUUACUGGUAGGUUGGCAACUCGAAGCAUGAGGCCUGUCAGUGCAGAAACAUUUGAAUUGAUAAUUGAUGACAUCAAAUCCGCAACGUCCCCCACUUUCUGUACACUCACUGCAGUCACUUGAUAUCCAGCUCAAUCUAAACCCCCUUCUCAGUAAGACUUGAUAGUCAAUAACUCGAUUACUCCCCUCAUUUCCAAGCAGUUCUACUGGUAUUAUUACAUGAUCUUUACACGCUUGUAAUGCAGACUCAAAGCCUUCAUCAUCAUCAAACAUUGCAAGAAACCAAUCAUUCACAUUUUCUCCACCACAACCAAAACCAACCCUGUGCUUCAAAAGAUCCUCGGAUAUCGAUCCAUUACACUUUGACAACAAGUGAAUUCCUGAUUCCUUAACAAACUCAAAAGGGAGAUCAUCGAGUGACACGUUCUUGAUAUCAGAAACACAUCCAUUCUUUACACUACUGUUAAAGAUUGAAUUUUUAAGCUGAAAAGUAUCAUCUUGAUAUCUAAUAUCUUCAACUAUAUACUCAUUUUCAGUAAUACGUACAACAGGAAACCCUUGUUCACUACAAUUUAGCCCAAAUCCAGGGUAUCCACAGUAAGAUUCUUGAACAUCUUCAAUAUAAAAUGGGAAGCUUAUUCUUGGACCAUAUCUACAAUUUACUGGUUUAUUACAUACUACAAACUGUGGAUCAACAACAGCACAACAUUUAUCUAUUUGCAAAAUGAAACAGAAAACACAAAGGUUUAACAAUGCUAUCAAGAUAGACCUUUUUUCUUGGUUCAUCUUUAAGCUUAAACAACUGAAAAAUAUACUACUACACAAGUAGAUAAUGAAAAAUAUACCAAAGAGAGGAGGGGUUUCUUGGAUUUUACCUUCUUGUUAGCAAUAAGUUGACUUCAUUUUGUCUACAUAUUCCAUACAACUCUGUAUCUACCAAAAUUGAAUUUUCAAGAUUAAACUUUACUGGGGUCAAGCUUCUUUUUUUUUUACAAGCAUAGCGCUAAUUUCACACAAUAUUUGGCAUCUCCUAUUAGCAACAAGUACAAAAUAACUCUAAUGGGUCAAGUUUUUAAUGAAGAAGUUGCAAUUAUUGACCAAUAAUCUAUUUGACUAAGCUUAAAAAUGUAUGCUUUUGAGACAUAGUCCAUAUUCACACACGAUAAAGAAAAAACACAAUACAUAAAUAUAAAUAGGAUCCUUAACUUGACGUCAAUUGACAAUUAUGACCUUUGACUUUAGAUGUACACAAGUAGACACUUAAACUUGUAUAAAAUUGAGCAAAUGAACACGAUCGUCUUACGUGGCACCCUACAUGACAAUUUUGUAUCUUACAUGGCAUCGCAUCCUAUGUGUAUUAUGCCAUGUAGGACAGUUGUGUCUACUUGUUCAAUUUUAUAAUAAUUUAAGUGUCUACAUAUUCAAAGUUAGAAGACAUAGUUAUUCGUUGACGUCAACUUAAAGGUCAUAUUUAUGAAUUAUGCCAAAAGAAAAUAUACAAGAUAACACCAAGGGAGGAAGGUGUUGUUCUUUUAUUUUUUUUCCUCCCUUUUCCAUUCUUUUGGACUACAAAAAUAAUUAUUUGUCUAAUAUUAAUAUGACUUCACUUGUAUUCACAUUCUAUUGACUUUCUGAGUUAAUUUCUCAAAUGAUCACUCAAAAAGUUAGUUAUAUCCCACAACAAGGGGUGGAAGCCCGGAGCUAGAAAGCUACUUUACCUAUAAGUUUGGUUAAACUCAAUAAUUUUAGUCUAGACUGUCGCAUGACACCCUCCUGAGAUGUCUUGGAAGGGUGACAUGAGGCAAAGUAACCCGACUUGGGUGUGAUUACUUUCUGUCAACGUCAACGACAACGUCAAAAACAUAAUAUAUUAAUUCAGAAUCAAAUGAAAAUUUGCUUGUAGUAGAGAGAAACAAUUGCAAGAAAACCAACAUUGUGCUGAGGGAGAGGAAACACCAAUGCAUUGCUUGCUGAAAUUCUUGAUUCCACUUCGUUGUCGUAAAAACUCAGAAUUCAUAAAGUUCAAAUCAUGAUAUCACUUUUUUUUUUAUAAAUGAAUUUGUCUCGAGUUUUACAUACGAAUUCAAAUUAGUCUGACUAAUGAAUUUCGGUGCUCAAUGGUUACAUAACAACUUUAUAAUAUAUAUCAUUGCAAGUGGACUGUAUCAUUUAUUUAGAUAAUGGACUUGUGGAACAAGCAGGCCCAGACAUAUAGGGCCCAAAUCUACAUCUUUAACAGCCUGUUAAGAGUUAAUGGAAUCAACAAUAGGCAGAAGUGGAAAAUAUGUCAUAGUGCUAAUAGUAAUGAAAAAAAAGAUUUUUUUUUUAUAUAAAUGUUAAGAAAAAUCAAUUUUAUCCCAAGAUUUUGAACUAUGCGAUCAUCUCUGAUACGAUAUCUCAUCUAAAAACUUAAGCUGUUAGAAAAAAAUGUAAUUUUAUUAGUUAAUUAUAUUCUCGAUAAAAAGAUCCAUACUACUAUAUAUCUGAUAUUACAAUAGAAGACGUUAUCGCCUGAUUAUAUUUGUGCAUUACAAAUAUGUUUGAACAGAUCCAGUGAUAAUGGUAUAUUACUCAGCUCCUUCCUUUUGGUAAAAUAUAACACAUGAAGUCUUCAAUUUGAAAGAUCGUUUUCUUCCAUUUAAGUUGUGAAUAAUUAUUAAAGAUCGUUUUCUCGAUAAUGCAUGGUACAAACAUCAUAUAUUGCUAAAUAAUGGACUAUAAUUUAAGGGCAUAGAAACUAGGUAGAUGUCAAUUUUGUUAUAUAAAUGUUUUUAUGUAGUGAAGCACUUGAAAUCACACAAAUCACCAAGUUGAGUAACAACAUCAAUUGUCUAGCCAAAGUCAUCUCAAGUCAUUUUCAAUAAAAUAAAACUUAUUAUAUUUUUUUCCAACUAAAAUCCACUCACCUGUUUUUUUUUUCCCUCUUCCAUUAAUGCAUUGAAAAGUAAAUGCUUGUUACAUCAAGUUAAUUUUGUGACUUGACAUCUUAGAAUUCUUGUUCUAUUUCAAACUACUUACAUAAUUUUUGAAAAAGUUAAUUAUAAUAUUUGAACAUGAAAGUAAAACGCUCCUUAUCAAAAACGAUUAUGUUCUCACGACUUGAACGAGAAACUUAUAAUUAAGCAAAACGCUUCGUUUUGUUUUUUGUAUUUGUUAUUUUGAUGUAUGAUAUUCAUUUUUGAAGUCUGAUUAAUUUAAAUUUAUACCACGAAAUUAAGAUCUAUUAAAGCGAAAAAAAACCCUAUAACAUGAUAAUUAUAGGGAAAAAACUACUAGAACUUUAAUGUUGAAAAAGUUUUAGCCAAAGUCCUUCCAUUUGAAGAAAAUAGACUAUACUUUAAAAAGUAUUUACAUGUAUUAUUAUGCAAUGAUUAACUUAUAAAUUCCUACAAUGAGUGGCAAAUAAUAGGUUUCAAUUUUCAAUUGGUUAAUACCAAUUGGAAGCCAUAAUUAUUUCAUUAUUAGUCUUGUAAAGUAAACUUCCUUUUAGGUAUUAAAAUAUACUCGAUAUUUGCCACCAUCAACAAUUAUUGUGAAAUGAAUAUAUACUAUUUUUUUUUACAAUUGUUCAAUUCAAAUCCUAGAAAAUAUUUCUUUAUAUUAUGCGAAUUUAAAUUAGUCAAAUCAAAAACUUUUUCGUAUGUUUGUAAAUAAAAAAUAAAAAAAAAUCUAAUUUGAUAUUUAAUAUUUGUAUUAAAGCUUGAUAAAAUUUGAAUUCGUACAAUGAACUCUCACAUUAAAAGGUAAAACUUUCUCUAUCAUAAAAACUUAAACUCGAAAUAUCUGAUUUAACGACGAAUCAAUACUUGAAUGUCCACUUGCUUUUUAAGUCUUAUUCCUUAGAAAUUUAACAUUAUAAUCUUCUAACAUUCCUUUGGCCCCAUGACAUUGACUUUGUAAUAUCCUACUUGCUUUUUAAAGGCUUCAAACUACAACCACACAAUUUAAAGAAAUUCUACUUUGUCUAUGUCAAAAAGUUAAUCACUUUUUAACUUAUUUCACGUCCAAUAAAACUUAUAAUAUAAAUAUAAAUAUUUAAGUUACUAAGUUGAAGUAGUCACUUGGUCUUAAUAGAGGUUCGAUUCUCGUUAGACCCAUAUCAAGAAGUUUACGCACUACAUAUUGUUAUUUGUGUAAUUUACUAAAAUACCUUAUUUAUUCGAUGUUUCUUAAGAAUUGAACGUUUUAUAGUUCUAAAACAAUACAAUGGUAUAGUUACAAACAAUUAUUAUCUCUUAUCUUAAAUUAAUCAAUUUUAGGAAAAAAAAUUUCCUUGCUAAAGGAUAAAGGAGUUUUUUUUUUAAAAAAAAAGAUUAUAUUUCAGAAAAUAUUUUUAAUCGUACAAAUAACCACAAUUAUAUUUCCAUUCUUUUCUAAACUUAUUUUAUUUUAUAUAAAAUAAAAUAAAAUAAAAUCUGAUUUCUUUAGGAAGCACAUGGCAAAGGUGUCAAAAUCCUUCUGCUCGUGCUGAUUUUCAUAUCACAUGCCUUUUACCAAUAGUUUACCUUAUUUUUUUUUUUUGAAAAAAGACAAAUAUAUCUGAACUAUCGUAAAUGAUAUGCAAAUACCCUUGAUCAUAUUUUUGAGACAUUGGUGUCCAUGUCAUCCAAAGGUUAGAGAACAUAUACCCUUUAUACUAUCGGACAUACACGGUGUCAUAAUCUUAUCCACUGAUCCGAUAUUUAUCGACGGAUAAGAUCGUGACAUAUGUCCCUAUUUAGUCCACCGUUAAAGUGAACAUGCAUAUAAGCUCUAGUUUUUGAACGGCAUGGACACCAAUAUCUCAGAAAUAUGACGAAGGAUAUCUAUAUAUCAUUUACGAUAGUUCAAAAAUAUAUUUAUCUUUUUGUCUUUAUUUUUUAAUAAUUUAAUAUUCCAUACUCAUUUUGAAUCAAGGAUAUAUAUAAAUAACUAAUACUUUUCAUUAUGAAAUUGAAAAAUAAUCAUCUAUUACAUAAUUUCUAAGACAUUUAAAUAAGGCUUCACAUGUAAAAAGUGCCUACCCCAUACUAUUACUAUAUAUAUUAUUAAAUCACUUUAUGAAAAUUAUAUUACAACUCGAUUGGAGAAAUUUCAAAAUAUAACAUAAAAUUUCACUCGUAAAAAGUGGUUAAUCCGUACUAUUACUAUUAUUAAUAACAUUAAUGUACCAAGGACGAUUCGAUUUUAAGGUUCAAUUUGCUAGCUUUUGCCAUUGCUUUCGGCCUUUCAGAUUCGAUUAGUCUAUAAAUAUAUCCUAAAGUUUUGUUUUUUUUUUAUGAAAAAUAAUCAAAUAUAUUGUUGAAUUCUUCAAAAUGAAUUUAUUUUACCCUCUAUUACAUCUUUUUUUUGGUUAAAAAAUAACUUUUCAUUACUAAAAUAGUUGAAAAAUACAUCGUAUAUAUAGUUUAAAUUUUGAAUUUGUCUCGUUAAAUAUAUAAAGCUUAUAUCUGUACUAGAAAGUCGGUAAAACAACAGAAAAUACAUACACAAAAAAAGUUCAUAGUACCUCAGAGUGUCAGCUCUUUCACUUUCCAUUGUCAACAAGAAAAAGGUUCAAUUUUUUUUAAAAAGAUUACAUUUUUAUGUAAUUUAUUUGUUAAUUACUCAUAAAAGAUUAUAUCUUUGUUUAAUUUGGUAGCAUUUGUUUAUUCAUGUGAGAUUUAUGUGUAUAAUAUUCAAAGAAUGUUUGUUUAUUUUGAGGGAAAAAAAAUACUUUUUUAAGUAAUGGGUAUUUGAUGAUUGAUUUAUUACAGUUCAUAUCUUGUCAGCAAUCCGCGUUUUUUUUUUUUGUAUUAAAUUUGUUAACUUGGAGUGAAAUUCUUUGUCUCUGCAGUCACUAUCAGAUCUGAAUUUUGGUUUUGUUUGUGGGGGAAACAUAGCAAGUUAAAAAAGGCAUUGUCUUUACAAGGUAAUAUCCAAGUGUAUUGGGGUGUGUGUGUGUGGUGGAAUUUGGGAUAUUUUAAAACAGGUGUCAAAUGGAAUGAAAUUUUUAGGAGAUUCUUGAAGCUUUGGUGUUGUUGAUGUGUUUGUUUUGGUGUUGAUGGGGUUUGGGGAUCAAGUUUUGAGCUUUAGGAGAGUGUUUAUUUGGGAAUGAUAUUGUUAAGGGGUUCUUUAAGUUUUAUGUUGUUUAUAUGUUUGUUUUGGUGUUUUUGUGUUGUGUGUGAUUGGAUUUGGGGAUAAAGUUUGAAACUUUGGAGGUUCUUGAAGUUUUAUGUUGCUUAUGUAUUUGUUGUAGGUGUUUUUGUGGUUGAAUUCGGGGAUCGAGUUUGAAACUUUGGGAGAGUUCUUGGGAGUGAAAGUGUUAGGAGCUUCGUGAAGUUUUUCAUGUUGUUUAUGUAUUUGUUUCUAGUUGUUUUUGUGGUUUAAGUGCGGGAUCAAGUUUGAAACUUUGGGAGAGUUCUUUAUAGGGAAUGAAAUUGUUUGGAAGUUCUUGAAGUUUCAUGUUGUUUAUAUGUUUGAUCUGAUGGCUUUGUUGUGUGUGUGAUUGGAUUUGGGGAUCAAGUUUGAAACUUUCGGAGAGUUAUUUGGGAAUGGAGUUUGGAGGUUCUUGAAGUUUCAUGUUGUUUAUGUACUUGUUUGUGUUUUUGUGGUUGAAUUUGGGGAUCAAGUUUGAAACUUCGGGAAUGAAUUUGGAAGUUUCGUGUUGAUUAUGUGGUGUAUGACUGUAUUUGGGGUUCAAGUUUGAAGCUUUGGGAGGUUGUCAGGGAGUAAAUGUUUGUUGGAUCGAAUAGACUGAUUAAGGAUUCUAUUAUUGACUAUUGUGGAGCUCUUCUGAUGAGCUGAGAUGUGAAAAAAUAGAAGUGAUCUCAGGAUUAAAAGAAAAGAAGAACGUGGGAGGUUCAUAUUCUCUGGAUUCGACUAUAACAAGGUAUAAGUUUCAACGUCGUGUUGGAAUUUGGGAGAUUUAACUUGGAAUAGUUUGUAGGUCGAAAAUGGGGUCAAGACAAGAGAGGCAUAGAUCUGAUCAUGAUCUUGUGCCAUUAGCAGCACUGAUAAGCAGAGAAUUGCGGAAUGAAAAAAUGGAGAAGCCAACUGUAAGAUACGGAUGUGCAGCUCAGUCUAAGAAAGGUGAGGAUUAUUAUCUGAUGACGACAGAUUGCCAGAGAAUUCAUGGCAAUCCUUCAUCCGCCUUCUCUGUGUUUGCGGUAUGUAUUUCUCCAUCUUUUUCCCCAUCAAACUCCAUCUUUUACCACAUUAAGUGGGGUCGAUGUGAAUUUUUGUAUCAAUUUCACUUAGUUUCAGGUUUAUUGCACCCUGAUACAUUUAUCCAUUUCUCCAUCUUCUACUAGACAAACUUGUCGUCUUAAUCAAUCGAUUACAUGUAAAAUUUCCAGUCUUUCUUGCAUUGGUUCCAUACACCUAUUAAUCCAGUUUGAUGUCACCCAUUCUAUCUAUAGGCCAUUUAAAAUCAUUAUUUGGAUUUAUUCAGUAGAAUUGUUUUUUAAAAUUGGACUAGAUACUGAAGGUUGACGGUCCUGUCACUGUAUUUGCUUUGUAUGUUCCAUAGUCUUUCCAUUUUAUUCAAGGUUGUUAAGUAUUGAUAUGGUUCAAUAUUACUUUUGGGACUGAAAUUGUGUGCUGGUCGAAUUUUGUUUGAGGUUCAGGUAAUAUGAUGGUCCUUGCAGCUGGAUUCUUCAGUUCAUUAAUUUUCCAUGUAAUUCUUCUUUCCGUCAGAUCUUUGAUGGACAUAAUGGAACAGCAGCCGCAGUGUACUCAAGGGAUCAUCUACUAAAUCAUGUUUUGGGUGCCAUUCCUUGUGGACUGGGGAGGGAUGAGUGGCUUCAAGCUUUGCCUCGUGCACUAGUUGUAGGGUUUGUGAAAACUGACAAGGAGUUUCAGAAGAAAGGCAUGAAAUUUGUGCUGCAUUUCACUUUAUAGCUAUUUUAUUUUGAUUUCAUGGUUCAAUAGUGCUAAUGUAUAUAACUUUCAUUUGUCACUGCAGGACUAACAUCUGGAACUACAGCUACAUUUGUGAUUGUUGAUAGAUGGACCGUGACAGUUGCGUCUGUUGGAGAUUCACGCUGCAUUUUGGAUACUCAGGGUGGUGCUGUUUCAGAAUUAACUGUAGAUCACAGGCUUGAAGAAAAUGCAGAGGAGUAAGUGUCCAUCUUCUAAAUCAUUCCAUCUGGUGUGUUGAUCAGAAAAUGUUCAUCAUCUCUUAAUUAAUUGCAGAAGGGAGCGUGUCACAGCAAGUGGAGGCGAAGUAGGAAGACUUUGUAUUUUUGGUGGUACUGAGGUGUGUUGUAAAUUUGCAUCUCCGAUAUCAUAUCACGGAUGUGAUAGAAAACUUCCAUUUUGCAUCUGCAGAUUGGUCCUCUUCGCUGUUGGCCAGGAGGUUUAUGCCUUUCAAGAUCAAUCGGAGAUAUGGAUGUAGGAGAAUUCAUUGUUCCAAUACCAUAUGUCAAACAAGUGAAAGUAAUACCUUGCUUUGCUUUGCUUUUCUUACUCUCUUUUAGACCAUCUUAAGAUUUACCUUCCUACCAAAUCCCGAUGUACUAUUUUCUGUUCUAUAUCUGAUGUCUCAGGUAGAGACGAGUAAAUUCAUGAAUGGCUCAGGCCCUAACCUUUUCAAAACAUUUUGAAGCUAUCAACUGUAGGUGGAAGGCUAAUUAUUGCAUCUGAUGGAGUUUGGGAUGCCAUAUCAUCAGACAUGGCUGCCAAGUCUUGUCAUGGCUUGCCUGCUGAGCUUGCUGCUAGACAAGUUGUGAAGGUAGUGGAACUCACGCAUCUUUGCAUCGAUAACAAGUACUUAGAAUGAUAUCUUUAACUCAUUUACGUCGUUGAUUGUCUAGGAAGCUUUGAGGACACGAGGGUUGAAGGAUGACACAACAUGCAUAGUAGUUGACAUAAUACCUCCCGAUAACACUGUACAGCCUGCAACUCCGCCCAAGAAGUAUAACAAGCUUCGAUCUCUUUUUUCAGAAGAAACUCGCAAAAAUCUGCUGGUAAACUAUCGAAAAAGCUGUCAGCUGUAGGCAUUGUAGAAGAACUGUUUGAAGAAGGCUCAGCAAUGCUUGCUGAAAGGUCAGAAUUCUCUGGAACUUUGAAACCUUAUUAAUACUUCAUGAAGCUUUCUGUUUCUGUUGAUUUUGAAUUGAAUAAAUUAGACAAGAUUGAUUGUUAAAUACCAUAACUAUUCAACCAUGUUAAUAAGCGUUGAGAUUUAGCCUAAAUGUGGUCUCGUUACAUAGAUACGAGGUGGUUGGCAUGUUUCCCUCGGAUCUCAGUAUUCUUGACUUCUUUUUUCUCAAUUUUCUAUGAAUGUUUUCAAGAAGAAGAGUUUGAUCGUUGUGUUAUUAUGUGGAUUGCAGAUUGGGGAGUGAGGAUUCAAAUGGUCCAUCAAUGUCCGGUCUCUUCAUUUGUGCUGUUUGCCAGGUCGACCUUGCUGCAAGUGAAGGCAUAUCAGUACAUGCUGGUUCAAUUUUCUCGACAAGCUCAAAGCCUUGGCAAGGUCCAUUUCUAUGUGCUGACUGUUGCAAUAAGAAGGAUGCCAUGGAAGGAAAACGACCAAGUGGUGUUAAAGUCACUUAACUCGUGCAUCGUUGCCAAGUUGUGUCUACAAUUUUGUUACAGUAAUUCUUUCUGAUAUCUGCCUCAUAUCUUAGUUAAAUUCAAAGGUGAUUUAUUGAACAUUGGCAUCAGAGCAUAAUACUAUAUGUCAGCCAAUAAUGUAAAUAGGUUCUAUCAAACGAAGAAGUGUGAUAAUAGUUAUGAGAUUAAUCUAAAAGAUGUAUUUUCUUCUUGUUGUUCCUUGCUUGUUGCUACAUCAUCUUUUUUCAUCUGUGUUUGAGCGGAGUGUCUAUGUAAAACAACCUCUCCACCUUCUCAAGGUCUGGUUACACACUUGACGUUACCCUUCUAGACUCCACUCGUGAGAUUACACUGAGUUUAUUGUGAGUUUAUUGUUUGUUGUUGUAAUAAUGACAAAGAGGAAUUUAACUUAACAAUUAAGUUAAUAUCUACUCUUCCUUCUCUUGAGGUAUUAUCUUUUUCUUUUAGCACGAGAGAAUUCCGAAUGUCUUGGUCUUUUUUUCUUUUGUUUGCUUCUUCAUGUCUUGAAUUAUUCAAAUGCAACAUUAGUGUCGGUCGGUAUCCAAAAUAGUAUAAUAAGAUCAAUUAUUGGGAGGAGUUCAUAUGCACUCGAUAUUUAAACCAAAUCAAUAGAUGCACAUCAUGUAUCUGUUUGGACAUAAAUUUUCCAUAACUGAAUAGAUACAAGAUUUUAACUACAUCUAAUUGUGACCAAAAAGGACCCCAAAACCUAGUUUGAGUGGCUAAAGUUGGAGGAUGUGUAGCUUAGGUCGCAGGUUUAAGCUCCACACAAUACAAAGUGAAGUCUGAUAUUUAAGUGGUGAAGGGUAAAGGAGCGGAUCCAUUAUGUACCGAGUUUAAAAGGUUGUGAUUGAUUCAAAGGGUGGAUCACAGACGAAUUUCUCCAUUAUCAAAAAAAAAAAAUGUGUGACCAAAAGAAGAAAGGAAAAGUCAGUUUAAAUAAUACAAAGAAAGAAGAAGAAAAAUUCUUAGAUUCUGAUCAAUUCAAAAUUAAUGCAUAGACUUUUCCAAUCCCAAGUCUUUGCAGUACAGUUCUUAGAGUAAUGUUUGGAUUGGCUUAAAACAAUAGGUUGAUUGUUCAUAUAUUUUAAAUUGUAAUUUUUUGUCAAAUAAUUUGUGAUAUUUACUAUCGUGUAAUUUUCUUAAUAUACCGUACAUAAUGUUUUCAAGUUACUCACGUGAGAAGCACGUGUCCAGGAUUCGUAUUAUGAUGAAUUUAAAGCUCCAAAAUAAAAAGUUGAAUUAUCAUUUUGCCCCUCUGCUAAAGUAAAAUUUGAUUGAAUAUAAAUAUUUUGAUCACUUAAUUGUAGAAUUUGAAGUUCUUAAACCCUUCAAUAAUUAAAUUAUCAUUUUCUUGAUAAAUGAGUACAUUGAUAUUGCUUUUAAUCUUAAUCAUAAAAAUCUCAUAAUGAAGGAAUUUGAAAAAUUAUGAUAUUAAAAGUUAUUCAUCACUUUAAUGUAGAAAACAAUUUCAGAAUUAAAAUUAAAAUUUAAAGGAUCAUUUCUUACUUCUAUUUAAGAACCAAAUUAUAAAGACGCAAUCUCAAAUAGAAAAUCGAAUUAUGGAAAUUGCACAAUUUAACAUGAGAAAAUAAGAGAGUUAGAAGUUGCAAAAUUUAACAUCGAGCAUGAAGACUUCCUUUGCGAUAUCCUCUAACUUUUCGUUCUUGCUUAAUUUCUCCAUUAUAAAAAUUUUCUUCAAUGAAGCAUUUAGAAUUGUAUGGGUGUUGGACUUGAAGGAGGUCAUCUUUUUUAAACAGACUAAAAAAAAAAGGAGGUCAUUCUUUUUUAAACGGAGGAAAUAAUAUUAUAAUCAUUUAAUUAAUCAUUAAAUAAUAAAACACAUCGUAUUACAAGUGGAAAGACCUUAAAUGAAAAGUUACAUUAUAAUCAAUCAUAAUAUAAUACUUACUGCCCUAAUGACUUAAUGAAAUGUCCAGAUCAUAAAUGUUGAAGUAAUUUUCUAGCAAUAUCUUUAAGAGAAAAGACCAAAUAACCACUUAAUAGCACAGAUAAUACUAAUUCAAUUGGUUAUUUAAAUACAAUUAGGAGUUUUUUUUCUUUUGCAUUAUCUUUUUUCAGGUAAAUACAUCUCAAAUCUAAUAUAAAAUUUGUGUGUAAUGUUCUAUAAAGAAAACAUUUUGAAGAAAUAUUGUUUUCUUUUACAUCAUGGAGAAACAUGUAUGCAUGUUUAAUAUAAAGUAACUAUUAUAUAAAUAGUAUCAAAACUACCCAUAUUUUAACUUUACAAAUAUUAAAUCAUUUUUGAAUGUAAGAGUAAGGAGAUUAAAAUAUAAGAUUAAUAUAUAUUAUGCUUUGAAAUUUGUAUUUUUCAAUAUACUUUAAUAUCUAAAAGACAAUGGUGAAGAUUUCAUUAACGAGGUGGCAAGUAUUAGCAGAACAUUUAACAUCGUGAGCCUUGUGGGAUUUUGUUUUGAGGGUCACAAAAUCUCUUGUAUAUUACUUCAUGUCAAAUGGAUCUUUUGAAAAAAUUAUCUAUGAGGGAAGAUCCGAUAGUGUUUGUCAAUUAGAUUGGCCAAUACUGCACAAAAUUGCACUAGGCAUUGCUCGAGGAUUGGAGUACUUAAAUUGUGGUUGUACCACUCUGAUAUUGCUUGAGGAAUAUUUUUGUUCGAAAAUAUAUGAUCUUGUCAAAUUGUGCAUAAAAUAGGAGAGUAUUGUGUCAAUGUUAGGUCCACAAGGGACUAUCGGCAACUAAUCGGAAAAAUGAACUGGACGAAGAGAUUCAACUAAUCGGAAAAAUGAAUGAAGAGAUAAAGAAUGUGCAAGAAAGAUAGUGAUGGUGAGUUUAUGGCGUAUGCAGACUGAUCUCACAAAUCAUCAUCGAUGAGGAAGAUUGUGGAAAUGUUAGAAAGGAAAGAAACUCUCCGCAAAUGCCUCCCAAGACUUACCUAUAUUCUCCCACAAGAACAGAAGUCGAUUUUUCAGUACUAGUCGAUUUUUCAGUACUAGAGUUGCCUAGUCUUAAUGUGUUCAUAUCAGUAUAGUAGAUCAAAUAUUAAGACAACUAAAGAAGUUUGGUUCAACCAAUAUAGUUGUAAUUAUCUGUCUAAACCUUCAAAGAAAUAUAUAUAUAACGAAGAUUUAAAUUUUUGUUAUUGUAAUUAUCUUUAGUCAAAAUGCAAAGUUUCCCAGAUUUUCAUGACAAAGAAAGAAAAUCUAAGUUCAAAGAGAACUCUCAUAUUCUUAAUCCUGAGAACUUUCCUAAUCCACUAAGUUGACUGGAAAAUAACAAUAAAAAAAUUUUCCACUGAACAAUUAACAUAAUAUCUAGUAUUCCUUUUCUUGAGGUAGGAAUCAUUUUGUUCGAGUAUAGGAUAAUUCCAUAUGACUUUUAGUCUUCCUCUUUUGUUUGCUUCCUCAAUUAUGAGUAUUUUUCCAUGAUUUAUUCACGUUCGAUAUGUCUUUUUAGAUCAACUUAGAGAUGCUUUUCCUAGUAGAGCUGAGCAGUAACGGAGUCAGAAAUUUCACAAAGGGUGUCCAGAAAUAGCACAGUAAAAACUCUUCUAAAAAAGUAGAACUGGUGAGAUUCAAACACACGAGCACUACCCCAUUCCAAAGAGGUGAAACCACUAGGCUACAAUAGCUUAUUGUGUUAAAGUUGUCCAAAAUAUGUUAUUUAAUCAUUUCGUGGAUCAUUUUACUUAUAUAUACGAUAUUUUUCGACGAAGGGUGUCCAAUUACCAUCUGGCUACGCCACUGGAGUUGAGGGUCUAUCAGAAACAACCCAUGUAACUUCCAAUGUAGGGGUAAGCUAAGGUCUACGUACACUAUACCCUCCCCAGCUGGACUCUCCAAAAAUGAAGUCUCACCCGUGUCGGAUACUCAAAAAAUGCAUUACUUUUGGAGGAUCCGACACACACCCUGUGGCUUUUUUGAAGAGUCCGAGUAACAUAGCUCCCCAGACCCCACUUGUUGUUGUUAUUCUUUUGUUUGUUUCCAUGUUUCGUGUAAUCUUUGGUUUUGGAUAUCUGAUUUCAUUUGUGGUUCACUAUGUUUAGGUGACCUCACCUUAUUGUUGUUAUUACGGUUCCUUGCAUAUUAGUAACAAUUUUACUAUUCACACAUUGGCAUAAAUAUAGUACCUGAUAGCCUUCAAUCAAAAUGAUUUGUUCUAUAUUCAAUUUUUAUGCAGCAGCAAAGACGAAAGUUAACUCAAACUAGUGUGGAAUCGAAACAUACUUGAUUGAUAUAUAUACACUCGCUACAAUUAGUUGUUGUCAUGCUUUUAGAAGAAAGUGAAACAAAACUCAAUACUCAUUCCACCCAAUUUAUGUCCAAGUCCUUGAGUUUCAUGAGCCAUUUCUUUGCAUCUUGUGCAACAAAAGGUUUAGACGAUGUCGUUUCACAAUUUACAUCAUUAGCUAAUAAUUCAACUUUCUUCUCUUUGGCAAAGCUUGCUUGUCUGUUAGGAUGCCUUACCUUAAGUGACAGAAGACGCGAAACUUCAUGAAGGCCGCCCCAUUUUUCUAACGCACGAGCAAUAUCAUAUCGGCCUGUAGGAGAUAACUAGUACAAAUCAGAAGUAUUCGUGAGGUGAAGAACUAGAGCAACUCUAGGCCUGGGAAACAUUACGUCGUUUGCAUUGUAAUCUAGUUCCAUACCUGCACGUUCGAAGGAUUUUCUACUAGGCAUAUACGAUAGAUCCAUUCCCCAGUUCUUCUGGAAUCGACUGAUCUGAGAAAUUGCAGAUCAUUUCCAAGCUCAAUCAAAAUAAUCAAGAAAAUAUGAAAUGCAACUAGGUUGGUUAAAUCUCCUAAAAGUGAAACUCGAUUUUUUCCUGCAUUGAUCAGUAUCUUAUGCUGUUUUUUGUUUUUUUUGCAUGUAUUCACAGUUUUUGCAUGAAAUGAGAAGUUGAUAAUACGUACGAAGAACUGUUAACUAACCUCCUCUUGUAAAUUUUCUAAGCUAUCCCAAUAACCUUUUGGUUUGCGGUGUUUGUAAGCAAGAGAUAGAUUCAUCAAUGAAGAAAUUCUUCUAAAACCUCCCAUACGUGUAAUCGCCUUUUCAAUAUCAACUCUUCCAUGUUUUCUGAGUUGCUUUCUCAUAGGCAUAAAUCCUUCUUGUCCAUGUUCGGAAAUAAAAUCCAAGAGCUCAGCUUUAAGAACUUCAAUAUCCCUCUGCAACCCUGGAACUUUCGGCCUUUGUCUAGGUGAAUGUAAACUACUACUAUCUGAAUUCUGCCCAGCUUGCCUAUCAUAAUGAACAGAUGAAUCCUUCAUUGAUGAACUAACCGAUGCCUCUCGGAAUUCAUCAUGGUUAAAUUUUUCAAGAGGUUUCUCUGUCUCUCGUUCCUCAAUGUAAUCUCGGAUUGCACAUAAGUUUGAUGGAAGGUCCUCGUAUAUGACCUAAUAAUGACAGAGUAAAAGCAGAAGAAAGCACAUAAGGCAUUCUAAUUUGUAAAAUUUUCUGCAGAUUUAUUGAUGCAAGUUAGGCUCAAGAUCCACUUAACAUAAAUUUCAAUGUUAAGUGGAUGAUGAUUAGAGUAGACAUGAAUACAAACCUCUUCCAUAAUUGCUUCGGAAAGAAACGAAUUCUUGUGCAUUUUUGACUCCACACUAUACUUCAACAGAGUAUGAUGACUGCCUAAUUGCUCUAAGAUCCAUUUUCCUUCAAAAGAAUCGAAAUCUCCUUCCACCUGCUCAAAGCUAAUUUCUUGUUCUAUGAGUUCAGAUAAGUCUAGAACGACACGUGCAUGGAGAACCAUGUAUAGAAGACCCUUGCAUCCUUCCUGGAAAUGGACAAGUAGAAGCAUCACCUAAUAUUCGAGAAACAUAUCUCAUUGCAAUACACAACGUAUUAUUCACUCUGUCAUUUACCUGAAGAAUGCGAACUUUGUUGUUGUCUCGUGAUAAGAUCUUACUGA